AUUUUCUAUCCAGGUAGGGCUUUGUGGUGUUCUUUCAGGGGAGCGAGCAGAGGAAACUGUGCUCAUCCUCAUGUUUUUGCCUGAGGUAAUCAGCUCGCCGUAGCCUUGUUGGUGAGAGAAGGCAUACGCAGAGCGGCGGGAGCUCGUCCUGCGUACUCGCCUCAGGUUCUGCUCCUGAGGUCCUUGUCUCUUCCUUGACUGUUGGAGAUGACGAACCUGUCAAAAUACAGCAAUGGAGGAAGAAUUGGAAAGAGGUCUACUCUCAGGAAGCUGACUGCUAAGCCGGGCACAACACACACCACAGCGGUGAGCAGAAUGACCAACCACACACUCUUCUCUGAUAGACAGUUACGUGCCGUGCCUGAGGAGGACACACAUGGUAUUUAUAUUUAAUUUCCAUGCAUCAGUAUUAUUUCUUCAUGUAUCCAACUGAACUAAACUUACCUAUGAACGGGAAAUUACUUGGAAAGAUGCCAAAUAUGCCAUUACUUUGCAUUGCAAAUAAUGUGGCAAAGUACACUGUCAGGCUCCCCCAUAUGAACAAGUGAUUGACAGCUGUCCAGUAGUGUGUGUCAAGUCCAAUCUAGGAGCAGAUACAUGCAUCAUAAACAUGUGUUUAUUUUUUUAAACAAUGGCUAUUUUUGUCUGUUUGAACUCUUACCUGAACACUUACGAUGAUGACCAAGGAUGUUGCUAUGGUAACAGCAAAUGAUUGUUGGUCAGAAAAGUGGGAGCCAUCCUCUUUCACAAUGACAGUGAAGGCUCCGUAGGGAAU